rnacentral:rRNA from 1 species
GGUGAGUAACACGUGAGUAAUCUGCCCUCCACUUCGGGAUAAGCCUCGGAAACGGGGUCUAAUACCGGAUAUGACCACUUCAUGCAUGUGAUGGUGGUGGAAAGUUUUUCGGUGGGGGAUGUGCUCGCGGCCUAUCAGCUUGUUGGUGGGGUAAUGGCCUACCAAGGCUUCNACGGGUAGCCGGCCUGAGAGGGUGACCGGCCACNCUGGGACUGAGACACGGCCCANACUCCUACGGGAGGCAGCAGUGGGGAAUAUUGGACAAUGGGCGGAAGCCUGAUCCAGCAACGCCGCGUGAGGGAUGACGGCCUUCGGGUUGUAAACCUCUUUCAGUAGGGACGAAGCGCANGUGACGGUACCUACNNAANAAGCACCGGCCAACUNCNUGNCANCANCCGCNNNNAUACGUAGGGUGCGAGCGUUGUCCGGAAUUAUUGGGCGUAAAGGGCUCGUAGGCGGUUUGUCGCGUCGGGAGUGAAAACACUGGGCUUAACUCAGUGCUUGCUUCCGAUACGGGCAGACUAGAGGUAUUCAGGGGAGAACGGAAUUCCUGGUGUAGCGGUGAAAUGCGCAGAUAUCAGGAGGAACACCGGUGGCGAAGGCGGUUCUCUGGGAAUUACCUGACGCUGAGGAGCGAAAGUGUGGGGAGCGAACAGGAUUAGAUACCCUGGUAGUCCACACCGUAAACGUUGGGCGCUAGGUGUGGGGUCCAUUCCACGGAUUCCGUGCCGCANCUNACGCAUUAAGCGCCNCGCCNNGGGAGUACGGNCGCNNGGCUAAACUCANANGAAUUGANNGGNGNCCGNACAAGCGGNGGANCANGCNNNUUAAUUCNAU